UGGGUCAGCUCUGAUCGUUUUGCACAUAGCCCCUGCGUUUAACACUAACUAAUAUAGCUCCACGCAGUCAACACACAUGCAUGCAUGCCGCUCCGUAGCGUACAGCUCGGAGUCAUUCCAUGUCUUGAUGAGCACGUCACUGACGGGAACAACCCGGUGAGCGAGGUGGCCGUCGGGGUCCUUCCGGCGUGCGCGCCGAGGAAGCUCCUCGCGUCGCUGCCCCGCGGCUCCACGGGCUCCGGUCCGGAAAGUCUGUGCCGCCGGAGAAUGCCGUCAGGUAAUACGGCUCGUGGGUGGAGGCAUCGCCUGGACCGUCGUAGAGCCAGCUGCGGCUCGAGGCAGCNGCUGCCUCGAGCCGCACUGCUUUGCAAGCUCAAGUUCUAGGAUCAAAUAGGAUAACUUUGCAAGUUCUAGGAUAAUUCUGCCACAUGGUGUGUAAGUUGUAGGAUCCGAGUGCUUUUACCUCGUGAUGAAACCACAGUGGGGCUAACCAACCUGCUACUGCAUGUGUUUGUGGUACAAACAAAUGGAUACCCUAAAUAACUUGGCAUGCCAGACAUAUCUGGGAAAGAACUGAGUUCCAAAUCGGACGGGAACUGCUUACAGCGACGUGCUUGGGUCGGUCGCUGCUGUGGCCCAGCAGCUAGCAACGCUGGGGAAGAGGCAGGCUAGGGCUGACCCUUGGCUUAGCUUGCACCGGCCUUGCACUGGGCCGGGGAGCUUGACGAGGCAAGCCCCGAUCUGGUCAACGCAGAGCUGCAUCGUCCUCGUCUACUCGAAGGGCGCAACAGCUAUAGGUGACAGGAGGCAGCAGCGUCGUGGUUCCCUGGGCAGAGAAGAGAAAAAGAGAUUGACUAGAGAGAGAUAAGGAACGAACGG
rnacentral:lncRNA from 1 species